AUGAAACGUCACUCAGUUGAAUAAUGCGGUUUGCGGUAGAUGGUAAUCGUUACGUCUCUGUUUACCGCAUUUGCUAUUAAAUAUCGCACUUUCACUGCAUUAUUAUUUGGAUGGUGUAAAAAAUUACAUUAGAAUAUCCUAAAUUUGUUAGCACGUGAACGUUUGUGUUGUCGAGACGUGAAUGUUAUAAAUAAUAAGUGCGGUUUUUCUGUAUAGACUUUUUUUGCAAGAAUUUCGUCCUGAUUUUGACGCAACUUGUCCAAAAUUGCCUGGAACUAGAUCGUAAAGGUAUGGGGAUUAGACUGCUGACAUCACAGACGCUGCAUGUAACUUUGCCAAGUCACGCAUGUAUAAUAAGAUUUUAAUCGUCAUUCAUAAACGACAGAUGUGGAGGUACUGAAAGGAGCUUGAAAAAAGGCGGCUACUGAUUGCGGUGACCGCUUAGCAUCGGGCGGACCAUAUGUUCCUUGGCCAUCUUUGUG